rnacentral:Y_RNA from 1 species
AGCCGGUCCAAAAGUUGUGGGUUAUCAUUAAUCUUUGACGUGGUCUCACGCCACAACUACGUCUGACUGACUUUGU